GACGAACGCUGGCGGCGUGCCUAAUACAUGCAAGUUGAGCGCUGAAGGUUGGUACUUGUACCAACUGGAUGAGCAGCGAACGGGUGAGUAACGCGUGGGGAAUCUGCCUUUGAGCGUGGGACAACAUUUGGAAACGAAUGCUAAUACCGCAUAAAACCUUUAAACACAAGUUUUAAGUUUGAAAGAUGCAAUUGCAUCACUCAAAGAUGAUCCCGCGUUGUAUUAGCUAGUUGGUGAGGUAAAGGCUCACCAAGGCGAAGAUACAUAGCCGACCCGAGAGGGUGGUCGGCCAAAUUGGGACUGGGACAAGGCCCAAACCUCUACGGGAGGGAGCAGUAGGGAAUCUUCGGCCAUGGACGAAAGGCUGACCGAGCAACGCCGGGGGAGGUAAGAAGGGUUUCGGAUCGGAAAACUCUGUUGGUAGGGAAGAACGUGGGUGAGAGUGGAAAGCUCAUCAAGUGACGGUAACUACCCAGAAAGGGACGGCUAACUACGUG
rnacentral:rRNA from 1 species